rnacentral:rRNA from 1 species
UACCAGCACCCCGAGUGGUCGGGACGUUUAUUGGGCCUAAAGCAUCCGUAGCCGGUUCUACAAGUCUUCCGUUAAAUCCAGCUGCUUAACAGAUGGGCUGCGGAAGAUACUAUGGAGCUAGGAGGCGGGAGAGGCAAGCGGUACUCGAUGGGUAGGGGUAAAAUCCGUUGAUCCAUUGAAGACCACCAGUGGCGAAGGCGGCUUGCCAGAACGCGCUCGACGGUGAGGGAUGAAAGCUGGGGGAGCAAACAGGAUUAAGAAACCC